AAAAGGCGGUCAUGCUGAGCUUGUCGAAGCAUCUCUACCGCUUCGUCGCAGUCAUCCAACGAAGCGGUAGAGAUGCUUCGACAAGCUCAGCAUGACAG
rnacentral:misc_RNA from 1 species